rnacentral:rRNA from 1 species
AUUCCUGCUCCAAUAGCGUAUAUUAAAGUUGCUGCAGUUAAAAAGCUCGUAGUUGGAUCUCAGGGUGGGCUCAGUUGGUCGGCCUAAUUGGUCAGAACUGGCUGACUCUCCCUUGUUUCUGAAUCCCGGUCGGUGUUAAUUCUUCGUUCGUGGACUUCAGAUCGUUUACCUUGAAAAAAUUAGAGUGUUCAAAGCGGGCGUUUGCUUGAAUACAUUAGCAUGGAAUAAUGGAAUAGGACCCUGGUUCUAUUUUGUUGGUUUUGAGGACCAGAGUAAUGAUUAAUAGGGAUAGUUGGGGGCAUUCAUAUUUAAUUGUCAGAGGUGAAAUUCUUGGAUUUAUGAAAGAUGAACUUCUGCGAAAGCAUUUGCCAAGGAUGUUUUCAUUA